rnacentral:rRNA from 1 species
CCUACGGGAGGCAGCAGUGGGGAAUAUUGCGCAAUGGGCGAAAGCCUGACGCAGCGACGCCGCGUGAGGGAUGAAGGUCUUCGGAUCGUAAACCUCUGUCAGCAGGGAAGAACGGUCACUUUGCUAAUCAGCAGUGAAUUGACGGUACCUGCAAAGGAAGCACCGGCUAACUCCGUGCCAGCAGCCGCGGUAAUACGGAGGGUGCGAGCGUUAAUCGGAAUUACUGGGCGUAAAGCGCUCGUAGGCGGUACGUCAAGUCAAGGGUGAAAUCCCCGCGCGCAACGUGGGAACUGCCUUUGAAACUGGCAGACUGGAGAGUGUGAGAGGGUAGUGGAAUUCCAGGUGGAGGAGUAAAAUCCGUAGAUAUCUGGAGGAACAUCAGUGGCGAAGGCGACUAGCUGGCACGUAGCUGACGCUGAGGAGCGAAAGCGUGGGUAGCAAACAGGAUUAGAUACCCUUGUAGUC